AGUCCUGCCAAGGUUACACUCGCAGAAAAAAACACAACAUAUAACCAGAGUAAUGGCCGGGUACCAGCGCUGCGUCUCCCUGGCCUUGGUGUGUCUCUUGCUGUGCCACGACUCGCUGGCAG